rnacentral:lncRNA from 1 species
UUUAUUCCCUCCUCUUUUGCAGAUUUUUUUCUGACAUAAUUGAAAAGCACUCAUAAUAUAGAAUUUGGUCUACAUAUCUGCAAGAUGAAUUUUUAAAUCAGAUGGCCAUCUGGGGUUGUUAGAAACCUGC